UAUACAAGCCUCUUUCUGGAAGCCCUCUC
rnacentral:piRNA from 1 species